UUACCACAGAUGUCAAAUACUUUUUACCUUUCGAAUUCGAAGUUCUUUCACUAUAUUCUGAAUAAUUUUUCAGAUUGAUUGUGUAAAAUCGAGAUCUUUCACCCAUAUCAGCAUAGUUCAAGUGGUUCUUGUUUUACUUUUAUUUAAAUCUACGAAUGGAAACCCUAAUUGCACCUUACUGGCAUAGUUGCAGUGGUUCUUAUUACUAGCAUCAUCAGAUCAUUAAAACGAAUCGAUCUGCCUCUUUCAUCUCCCUUUGGAUCCAUCUCCUCUACGAAGCUAGGAUAAAAUUCUCAACAGUGGAGACUCAUCCACCGGAGGAAGAAACAGAGGGGAAAAUCAUCUUUCAGGCUGUGGAUAAAAGGGUAACAGUAGGAUUCAUCAAAAUAAAAUAAUUGAUUUGGAUUAAUGUUUGGUAGAGAGUGGUUGUUUGCGGCAGUGACCUGGAUGUACAAUGGCUUCAUGAUAAUGGAGUUUGGUUUGUAGCGAGAUUAGUGUUGUUUGAACCAAUCUUUAUGCAUCAAAUGAAUCUUAUGAGGCAUGUAAACUGAAAUUCGGAGAUUUUAAAGGAGCAUCAUUGGACACAGAGUUCGCCAUGCGCGACGGGAAGGAUAAUGUCAAAAUUUUGUUUCUCCAAGGACAGAAACUAGCAACAACUAGGAUUUGAAUAAACUAUUGGAAUAAAAUAUUGCAGAAAUACGUGUUCAAAUGGAGAGCUUCAAAACACCCGCACACAAUGAUAAAACUACUCGAGUUACAGAUAGCCGGUUAUGGAAUUAUUCCUUGAUAUGGAUUAAUUCCAUAACUGGAAUUAAUUUCAGUUCAUUGAUAUGGUUUUCUACUGUAGUAGUUUUUUCUUGCAGGUUUUUUCCGGGUAAAGUCAAGUCCGAUAGAUUCUCGGCCAGGAUUAUAUCUUGGGGCUUUACAUACAUGCUUCCAUUCAGUGUCGUCUAAUAUCUGCGUGAAUUGUUCUCCUAUCAGGGAUCUUCCUGCAUAUUUUCCCAUGAUGCAACUCCCUUGAAGAAAUCCAAGGUUUCUGGCCGUUAAAAAUUUAUUACGGAAGGAAUUUGAACCCUAGGUUUUAAAUGUCAAUAUUAUCAAGAAUAAGAUGAGGUGGGGGAGUGAUGGAGAUUUGCCGAUCAGCCAAGAAGUAUUUUCGCCAGGAAGAUGAGGCAGUUUUCACUGCGAAUGACACAAAUAUAGGUUCAGUCUGGCUUUAAAUAUCUUGAAAAUUAAUCAUCUAUAUACGGCUUGCAACUACCAGUCUAGAUAAUCUGUCUUCCUUCGAUGAAGUUGGUUGCAUCUAUUUUACUGUCAUGGGUUAUGCACAAUAAGUGGAUACAAGGUUUUCCCUUAUGCAGUGAAUGCAUAAUAGUCAGUUCUUAAGAGUGAAAUGUCCUCUUUUUUCAUAUCGAGGAAAAGGAAAAGUUCUUCUGCGUCCGCCAUCUCUUCCGUUCUUAUGAAUUCUCUCUGAAACCUCGUGCAAUUUUUCAUCAGCACUAUUUCUCUGAGGAAUUCCAUUGAAGCAAAGCUAUUGGGAUGAUAGUGCUGAUACUUUAGGUUUCUUUUCGUAAAGAGAAGUUGUAAAUCUAUAACAAGAAAUUCGAUCUCUAUUAACCUAAAAUUGUUGCUUUUUAUUUUGUACUGCAACAACAGCACUAAAUUAUUCCCAUGAAUUAUAUCAAUUUGGAAAGAAAUUAGGCUUUUUGCCGUAAAGUUAUGGCUGAGAAAACGAAGAGAGACUCAAAUUGUAGGGCUAUCUUUUUUGAAAACAUGGCUACAACAGCAAUCGAUGAUUCUGAAGGUACUAUUGUUGAUAAUAGUGUGGAGAUCAUGAUGUAGCUAUUCGUGAUUGUUUUUGGAAUCAUUAAUUGCGGUUGAAGAUAAUAAAAUUUAAAGUAGAAGCAAAUCCUAGGGUUUUAUCUGGGCUUUAGCAAGAGAAUCAAUCACUUGAAGAAGAUAAAGAUGUAUCAGUGCCACAUCAAUGACAAUGGUGGCGAAGUUCAAAAUAUAAAGGCAACUUAAUGUGGUGGUUGUCUCUGGGACAAAGAUGAUCGUCGGAUUGAGCGAUCCUGUGUCCUGGAAAGACUGGCAGCGAGAGUAAUUCGGGGCCGUCGAUUUGGGCGAGGUAUAUUUUUGAACAUUGGAUGCCCUGGGUUCCCGAUUUGACCGUGUUUCCUUGGACGAAAAAAAGAAACAAGCUAUAUCUUUUCUGACUGCCACCGUUCUUCUGAAUUAUCUCUUCUGAAACUGCAUGCAAACCCUUUUCUCGAUUCUAUCUUUGAGUUCCCGAGCUUACCAUUCCAUUGAUAGGUUAAUGAACUUUCCCUGAGUAAUUCCAUUGAAGCAAAUCUGUUGGGAUAACACGUUGAUAUUUUAGGUAAUCCUAAUCUUUCUGUAUUCAAUCUAUUUUGUGCUCGAAAUAUCAUUGAGGAAGUCCCAAUCAUAAUAUCACCAUGAGACAAUAUAACACCAUUGAGCUCUGUGAAAUAUGUUGGAGAUGCUACUCUUAUGCCUUGGAAAUCUCCUUCUCAUUAUUGUUUGACAGCAACAAGGAGCUUGGGUAAAUUAGGUUGCACUUGAGUUGGUUAGCUCGACCAAACUUAUCUUAUUAAUUAAAGUUUUUUGUUUGUUUUGUUUUUAUGAGCCUGAUUAUCUAGACAUGCCAGUGAAUCAAUGUUGUGUCACUUUGGUGAGUAUUUUAUAGCCUACUCCUGUCUUUACACUCAGAUUAGCUGUCUAAAACGAUGGUAGUUCAACAUAUAUUAUUCUCUUUUUGUUUUGGUUUAAUGAUAAGAAAAUACCUUUUGUUGAUAUUUUACUACUUACUUGGAACUUACAGGGGUCCAAAUUAUUGACAUUUGCCUGGCAAAACAAGGUUCCUAAGUGGGGGUUUAAUCAACUUUCAGGAGCUCUAAUCUCUACUUGCCGAAAGUGAAAUGCUGCUCAAGACUUCGUUUCUGUAGAUGACUUCUUAGGUUUACUGAGUAAGCUGAAGAGCACAUGGUUCUCGAUCAUGUAGUUGUGGGUUCGACUUCCACAGAUGGCAUUGUUAUUAUUCGAGUAGGUGAAAACGAAUAAAAUUAUUUGCGUCAUAUAGCUAAUAUUUCCUUCCUCGCCACCGGUACCUCCUAUGCAAAACCCAAGAAAAUUGUUUUCUCCCUCUCGAUUCACCUUGCUGAGUGAUUUUGUGAUGUAAUGAUUGGAUUUGACCCAUCAGAAGCUAUCAAUGGAAGCCCGGUGUUGAUUAUAUUGUGUCAGGAAUUCAAUGAAGAUUUUGUCUCUUUUGGGUUUCUCAAUUAGCUUAUGAGUGAAUUGCAGUACUGGAAUAAUGACAAGCAGGUAUUACUAUAAUUGUAUAGUAUUGGCAUUUAUAUGGUUUGAAGCUGUGUUUAUUUUUCCAUGUACUCGAUUCUCAAUUCUUCCUAUACACGUUGGGAACUAUGCAGAUGUAUGGGACUCGAACAAAAACCACCACAAGAUUUAGAUUUGUAACCAACUACCUCAUUAUUUUCUUCGAUAUACUAAAAAUAUCAUUAGACUUUGAGUCAACUGCCUAGGUGUCUUGGAUCGUUUAUUUUCGUAUGUCAUUUAUUAGGAUCUAUUGUUCAAAUAAAUUGAAUAUUUUGGAAGAGAAUUCGUAGUUGCUUGAACUGUCAGAACAUUGGUGGUCUUUGUUUUCAUGAUAUUUGUAAAUGGAUAGUUUACCAGAAUUCUGUGACGACUACCCCUUCUACUAAUGCUAGCAAACACGGACCCAAUUCAACAUUGUUAGAACAUUUAGGACCAUAAUCACACUCUGGCUUCGAAGUAACAUUUUUGGUACCAAAACCAAUAAAAGUUAUCAUGGUUUCUUCUUUUUAGUAUUUGGUAUAGAAUCCAAGUAAAAAAGUUGAAUAACAAGGCACCAAUUUACAUGGCAUAGCUGAAGAGUUUCAAUAUCAUUGUCUAUGGGGUCGCAUGGAAGUGAAACCUAAUGGGUUUUUCUAUCUCUUUAGUCAGUAUUUCACAUUGAAAAUGUGACAGUAUAACUUCGUGGAACUAAACGAAAUACCAAAGACAAGCAUACCAUACCAAGUAUGGUGCACGAAUUGAUAGAUUAAUUAAAAAACCAUUAAAACAGGCAGAAUGAUACAGAACGUUUGCCUGUAUCAAGAGGUCUCCUUCCCAUGGGACAUCUGCCCUGUGAAGGAAGCUAAUAAUUGAUUUGGUAAUAAUUGAUUGUUUCUAUUACAUGUUCCCUACCCUAAAAUGACAUUCAAUGAAUUUGUGCAAGAGCGCUGUCUCCAAAAGUCCGGUAAGAACCUGAACAAAUUAUCUUUGUGGACUCUCUCCUCUUCACAGACCAACCUAAGAAUAAUAUAACAAGGAAUCCAAUAGUCGCAUCCGGCAAUGUAAUUAUCAACAUUGGGUUGGAUGGAGCCUGCAGAUUCAACGGUUGACACUUUUGGUUCAAUGUCCAUUCCAAUGUAACCUCAUUACUAAACCACUCUUUGCCUUUUUACUUUCUUAUAUUCGUCGACCUACACAUUUGGCAUUAACUGUAUGUAUCUGCUGUUGUAUACAUAUCCAUUCAUACUUAAAAUUUUACGUCGUACUAUCUAGAAGAAUUUUGUGGACCGUCUGAUGAUGAUGACGACAUGGAUACACAGAGUAUUGUAAACCAGAAAGCUGAUCUAGACCUAUCUGGCUAGGCAAUAAGCAAGUCUCAUUAAAACUGCACUGGCUAGGCAAUAAGCAGGACUCAUUAAAACUGCAGUAAUACGCACCUUUGUUCCAUCUACUUAUGAUGGAACAGCGUGUCCAAAAAUCAUAUGUCUCCUACAUUGCUAAGAAGUCAACCUUAUAUGAGAUGUGAUAACUAUUGAGUGGUGCAGAGCAGAUUCGUUGGAGAUAUCACACUUUGCCUUACAAAUGCUGACCUACGAAGUGUAUGCAACAAUCAGUGAAUAUGCGAAAAAUCAAUGAACCACUGAACUGUACAAUGCCCUUGAUCACUUUUAGCUAAGUUACUUGAUUUUUCAUUUUCUUUUAUCUCACUGUCGCUGAAUAGGAUAUAUCUAUAUAUUAUAUACGGCGUUUCCGAUUUCAGGUUCAUGCUUGGUGAAAAAGCAUAUAACAUGCUUGGCGAAAAGGCAUAGAUGGUAGUUAGGAAUAUGAUUACCAGAAAGUAAGGGAAUUCAAAACACAUGGGUGGUGGUGGGUUUAGGACCCUCUCUAGAGAAUAUGGUCCCUGGGAUUGGGAUUCCCUUCCCACCAUCCAAAUAUGUUGUACGUGAUCAUACCUAGAAGAUUUACACAAGGCCUUGAAGCUUUAUUAAGAAGAACAGGUAGCAGCUGGAUCCUAAACAAUUUUUUUUGGCAAACACUUAGAGGGGUUCAGAUGUAUUCUAGAGAACACCACAACUCUGAGUAUUUUAUGAAAUGGUAUCUGCUGUCUUAGCUCAAACGGAAGAGCACAUGGUUCUCAACCAUGUAGUUGUGGUCGACUCCUACAGAUGGUAUUAUAUGUGAGUAGGCAGCGUUGUAUACUGCCAAUGGUUUCGUUAUUUGAUUCUCCCGGAGUGGGACUCCAACAUAAGAUUUGGAUGAAUAAUAAACUCUUGGCUAUACUCUUGAGGUUUUGUUCUCUCGGAGUGGGACUCCAACAUAACAUAUGGAUGAAUAAUAAACUCUUGGCUAUACUCUUGAGGUUUUGUUCUUGAAGAAGCACGAUUCUGCCGUCAGCGCAUAUUCAACCAGAUGAAGUUUUGUUACAGAGUUCUUCAUUUAAUUCUGAUAGGUGCACUUUGGUUUCAUUCAGUUUUUGAAGGGAUAGCCAUUGGAAUUGCAGGUAUUCUAUUAACCGUUGCAAUAUGCAACUGGACAAGACGUUCACCUACUUAGAAACGAUCCUGGGCUUGAUUGAGGGUGGAGAGUGGUUCCACAUGGUACAUAAGAAAUGCACUAAAAAAGUUGAUUAUGAUGAUGAGUCUUCCUGCAGUAAGUGCAAAAAAGAUUUUGAAGAAGUGCCAUGGUAAUUGUAAUCCACAAAUUAAACCUAGCCGCAAGGGAUGCCACAUCAAUUGCGGUAUUUACUGUGAUGGGAGAGACUGCGGAAAAAAACGGCAGAAAGUAGAUUAGAUGCACUGCUGAUGAACAUGUUAAUUACAAGGUACACUGCAGCGAGGUAUGCACAAAUUAGCAUGGAUAAUUAUUAUGAUUGAAUGGAUGUUGUACGGUGGAAUCAUGUUCACCAAGUUAUAUUGUCUAAUUGGAGGUCAACUAAGCAGAGCAGGCAGAAAGUUGAUUUAACAAGAUCAAGAUGAAACUCUUAUUUUCAAAUUGGUCAUUAGGGAGUGCAGUAUAACCAACCAAUCUGGCAAAUUCACAGUUCUAAAAUUUUUCGAAGUCAGAUAAUUUUGAGUCGAAAGAUUCAGAUUCGGUUGCAGAUAACAAGGUACAACAUUAAUUAUGUAUGGUAUGAUACGGAUUUCGUCAUGUCCACAGGAUCCAGACGCAGAAAAUGUUGUGCCACCUAUCAAGGAGAAAGAGGAAAAAGUUAAGAGAAGAAGGAAGAGGAAACCAACAAUCAAAGUUGGAGUAACAACAUGAAAGCACCAAGGACACCAGUCAAAACCGGUCAAAGCCUGAUAACUAUCAGGGAGACGGGCUUCAAGAUGUCAUCCCCAAGAAUCUUCCAAAUAAGAGAUAAACAUAGUUGAUCCAUGAAUAUUCGAUCUUUCUGUUUGCCAAUCUCGACCUUUCGGGGGAGAAAUCAAGGCCUUCGGACUGCAAAUUUAAAUUACCUCGGGGAGUUGUAAAUUACCACUGAACCAAGUGUUGUUCGAUGUAUACUUUUAACCUAGGAAUCUACGAUGGCGUAGGAAUGAGUGUAUAAAAAAUCAAAAUAGGCUAAAUACAUUUGGUGAAUAAGAAUCUUAAAUUUCUAUGUAUACUUUUAACCUACAAAAACUGAUGAUUUUUCUAAGCUUAAACCGUUA